GCUUCAUCACAUAUCAAAUUCCAUUCCACUUCUAUUUUCCAUUAGGUAAUCAUCUCUUCUAUGGCCAUGUUUUGAUAUAUCCACGCUUGCUUACCAUGUUCAUCACCAUUAGUCCUUCCAUUUUCAUAUUUCCUUUUCUUAUUUAAAUUAUUUUCUUCGUCCAUAAAAUUACCCAAAAAUAUUUUUCACUUUUCUUAACAUUUUAUUUAAUUUUAUAUAAUUUUUAUUUUCUUAUUUUUUAAUAUUAAUAUUUUAUUUUAAUUAUUUAUUCUAAAUGGUCCAUUUUAACACACUUUUUUUUAUUGAUUUUAUUUUUAUGACUUAAAAUUAUCGUUAGCAUUUGAUUUUUAGGAUGAAGGUUGACCACUGUCUCAUGGUCAACCUGACCUUUUCUUGGAAUUUUAUUUCACAUUUUAAAUUUAUUUUGGAUUUAUUUUUGACCUAGUUUGGUUGGUUGACAUUUAAUUUGACUUCUGUUCUAUUUUAAUUAAUUCACGUACCAAUUUUCAUUAUUUUAAAAAUAUUUUUGGGGGAUGAUGAUGUCCUGACCCCACCUUAUUUAGUUUAAUUUUUCAUGAUUUUCUUGAUUAAUUUACUAUUUAUUCUUGAUUUAUUUCUAACCUAGUCUUAUUAAUUGACUUUUG
rnacentral:lncRNA from 1 species